rnacentral:rRNA from 14 species
GCCUAAGGCCUUAACUCCCUGAAUGCUCUCAACCUCAUCUGAUCUCAGAAGCCAAGCGAGGUCAGGCCUGGUUGGUACUCGGAUGGGAGGACUGCAGUUCCCUUGGGUU